rnacentral:rRNA from 1 species
CUGCAGCCCGAGUGGUGAUCGAUUUUAUUGAGCCUAAAGCGUCCGUAGCCGGACUAGUAAACCCUUGGGUAAAUUGGGCAGCUUAACUGUCCAAAUUCCGAGGGGACUGCUAGUCUUGGGACCGGGAGAGGUCAGAGGUACUCAAGGGGUAGGGGCUAAAUCCUGUAAUCCUUUGGGGACCACCAGUGGCGAAGGCGUCUGACUAGAACGGAUCCGACGGUGAGGGACGAAGCCCUGGGGCACAAACCGGAUUAGAGACCCGAGUAGUCC